CCUGAUCCACAGAGCCAUACGACCUUGCUCCCAGCUCUCCUCCAGCCCUCUGGUCAACUGGAGAAGUCACUGUUUCUUUACUCUGUGCCUCUUGUCCCUGUGACCAUGUGGAGUCGUCAUGUCACCCUUCCCAGGCCUGACCUGACACUGACAUGCUUCUCAUCUCCCCCAGUGACCCGUCCCCACCCUCCAUAGGAGUGGAGGCCCGGGCCCAGUCCUGUUCUCAUUACGUUCUGAGAUGGCCAGAAUAUGAAAUUGUGCCAUAUCCUGCCUGCAGGCUCCCAACAGCCCCUCUGUUCAGUGCUUGUGCCAUUGGUGGUUCCUCUCCUAGACUUCAGGCCUGAAGCUGGUGAAACUUGAUAGCUGGGUGAAAGGGUGUUGGGUGUGGUCACUUCCUGUCAGAACCAAUGUCCUCAGAGUCCCUAACCUCAAGGAGACAAAUGAGUUCCCUUCUCCAAAGAAUUUAGACGGGCCUGGAGUGCAAGACGGUACAAAAGGCACCACCCUUAAAAUACUGUGAAAUAAAAACACAUUUCCUUGUCAAAUACUUUAAAAAAAAAACUACUUUAGGCACUGGCUAGGCCUGUGAAGCCAUAAGGCAGCCAUUUGGGUUGGGCAAACAGUCUCCUCCUCCAGGAGGCGUUCCUGAGGCACAGAGGUGAAGCCGGUCGUGGGCUGUUCGCAUCCCGAGCUCCCCGAGUGCUGCCAGUUCUGCUACUCCCGGCCUGGGGCAGAGGCCAUGGUGAAGUCUGGUCGGAUCUGUCCACCCGUCCCACGCAAGUCCUGAGUUGCAGCUUUGUGCCCGGCCGUGAGGAGGAGUCGGGCUGCCGCGCGGACCGCCCGGGUGCUCUGAACGCGCCUAUCUCACAGGCCAGCGCCGGGCAGGGUCGGGGGCCUGGAGGAGCUGGGCCGGCCGAGAGCGGACUCCGCCCUCCGCCCCUUUCUUGCCGGGAAACGGUCCCCGCCUCCUGGCGCUCUUUGGCGGGGCACGUCACCCGGAGCGGCGGGCGGGCGGCCACUGGAGCAGGAUGGCGGCGGAGCGGGACGCGGAGGGGUUCACGGCGGCGAGGCCACUGCUCACCGAUCUCUACCAGGCCACCAUGGCGCUGGGCUACUGGCGCGCGGGCCGGGCGCGCGAUGCCGCCGAGUUCGAGCUCUUCUUCCGUCGCUGCCCGUUCGGCGGUGGCUUCGCCCUGGCUGCGGGCCUGCGUGACUGCGUGCGCUUCCUGCGUGCCUUCCGCCUGCAGGACGCAGACGUGCAGUUCCUGGCCUCGGUGCUGCCCCCAGACACGGACCCCGCGUUCUUCGAGCACCUUAGGGCCCUUGACUGCUCCGGGGUGACCGUGCGGGCCCUGCCCGAGGGCUCCCUCGCCUUCCCGGGCGUGCCGCUGCUGCAGGUGUCCGGGCCGCUCCUGCUGGUGCAGCUGCUGGAGACACCCCUGCUCUGCCUGGUCAGCUAUGCAAGCCUUGUCGCCACCAACGCAGCUCGGCUUCGACUGAUUGCAGGACCCGAUAAGCGACUGCUGGAGAUGGGCCUGCGGCGGGCUCAGGGCCCCGAUGGGGGCCUCACGGCCUCCACCUACAGCUACCUGGGCGGGUUUGACAGCAGCAGCAACACACUUGCAGGGCAGCUGCGGGGUGUGCCCGUGGCAGGGACCCUGGCCCACUCCUUCGUCACUUCGUUUUUGGGCAGUGAGGUGCCCCCUGAUCCGAUGUUGGCUCCAGCUGCUGGUGAGGGCCCUAGAGUGGACCUGACGGUCAGCGUAAAGUUGUGGUUGGAGCGUGUGUGUGCCCACCUGGGACUGGAGGUUCAAGAGCCACACCCUGGGGAGCGGGCAGCUUUUGUGGCCUACGCUCUGGCCUUUCCCCAGGCCUUUCAGGGGCUGCUGGACUCUUACAGUGUGCGGAGGAGUGGUCUCCCCAACUUCCUGGCUGUAGCCCUGGCACUGGGGGAGCUGGGCUACAGGGCAGUGGGCGUGAGGCUGGACAGUGGUGACCUACUUCAACAGUCUAAGGAGAUCCGUGGGGUCUUUAGGACCACUGCUGCCCAGUUCCAGGUGCCCUGGCUGGAGUCGCUCUCCAUAGCAGUCAGCAACAACAUUGAUGAGGAGGAGCUGGCCCGACUGGCUCAGGAGGGCAGUGAGGUGAACCUCAUUGGUAUUGGCACCAGCUUGGUCACCUGUCCUCAACAGCCUUCCCUGGGUUGUGUCUACAAGCUGGUAUCUGUGGGAGGCCAGCCUCGAAUGAAGCUAACGGAGGACCCUGAAAAGCAAACACUGCCUGGGAGCAAGGCUGCCUUCCGACUCCUGGGCUCUGAUGGUGAGCCCCUCCUGCUCCUCUGUUGUCCUCCUUUAAGGCUCCACUCCCCAGCCUCUGCCAUUAUUCUUGCUCCCUACCUACACAGGAUCUCUGCUAUUGGACCUGCUGCAGUUGGCAGAAGAACCCCCGCCCCAGGCUGGGCAAGAACUGAGGGUUUGGCCUCGGGGGGCCCAGGAGCCCUGCACUGUGAAGCCAGCUCAGGUGGAGCCACUGCUGCGACUCUGGCUGCAAGAGGCUGUGUGAGCAGCUCCCAUCCCUGGCAGAAUGCAGAGCCUUUGUCCAGCGGUCCCUGAGCUGCCUCAGUCCUGCACACAGGCGGCUGCAGAGCCCUGAACUGUACCAGGUCGCACUGUCUGAGAAGCUUCAGGCCCUGGUGGACAGUUUAAGUGCUGGAGGGUCCCCAUGAGAAUCACAGACCGGGGACUGCCUG